rnacentral:rRNA from 1 species
UGGGGAAUAUUGGACAAUGGGCGCAAGCCUGAUCCAGCAAUGCCGCGUGAGUGAUGAAGGCCUUCGGGUUGUAAAGCUCUUUCGCCUGCGAGGAUGAUGACGGUAGCAGGAGAAGAAGCCCCGGCUAACUUCGUGCCAGCAGCCGCGGUAAUACGAAGGGGGCGAGCGUUGUUCGGAUUUACUGGGCGUAAAGGGCGCGUAGGCGGCGAUGUAAGUCAGGCGUGAAAGCCCCGGGCUCAACCUGGGAGGUGCGCUUGGGACUACAUUGCUGGAGUUCGGGAGAGGAGCGUGGAAUUCCCAGUGUAGAGGUGAAAUUCGUAGAUAUUGGGAAGAACACCGGUGGCGAAGGCGGCGCUCUGGACCGAUACUGACGCUGAGGCGCGAAAGCGUGGGGAGCAAACAGGAUUAGAUACCCUGGUAGUCCACGCUGUAAACGAUGUGUGCUAGACGUUGGGGAGCCUAGCUCUUCGGUGUCGCCGCUAACGCUGUAAGCACACCGCCUGGGGAGUACGGCCGCAAGGUUA